GACGUAGGGCGCGAGCGUUGUCCGGAUUUAUUGGGCGUAAAGAGCUCGUAGGCGGCUUGUCGCGUCGUCCGUGAAAACUUGGGGCUCAACCCCAAGCCUGCGGUCGAUACGGGCAGGCUAGAGUUCGGUAGGGGAGACUGGAAUUCCUGGUGUAGCGGUGAGAUGCGCAGAUAUCAGGAGGAACACCGGUGGCGAAGGCGGGUCUCUGGGCCGAUACUGACGCUGAGGAGCGAAAGCGUGGGGAGCGAACAGG
rnacentral:rRNA from 1 species